GUCCAUACUCCUCGUCAUCUACGGCUUUAGGUGCAGUACCAAGUGCUGUACAGGCAUUGUCUUCGCGGAUGCACCUGCUGCGACCUCACAUUAAAAGGAGAAACGGACGCUGAUCAGGGAGGAAAAGACCCUGCCUGAGGACCCUGGAAGUUUUUUUUAUAGAGAUGAAGUCUUGCUACAUUGCCCAUGCUGGACUCGAACUCCUGGGCUCAAGCAAUCCUCAUGCCUCGGCCUCUCAAAAUGCUGGGAUUACAGGAGUGAGCCACUGCACUCAGCCAAGGGCUACACAUUUUUAACAAUAU
rnacentral:lncRNA from 1 species